CUAAUACAUGCAAGUCGAGCGAACGGACGAGAAGCUUGCUUCUCUGAUGUUAGCGGCGGACGGGUGAGUAACACGUGGAUAACCUACCUAUAAGACUGGGAUAACUUCGGGAAACCGGAGCUAAUACCGGAUAAUAUUUUGAACCGCAUGGUUCAAAAGUGAAAGACGGUCUUGCUGUCACUUAUAGAUGGAUCCGCGCUGCAUUAGCUAGUUGGUAAGGUAACGGCUUACCAUAGGCAACGAUGCAUAGCCGACCUGAGAGGGUGAUCGGCCACACUGGAACUGAGACACGGUCCAGACUCCUACGGGAGGCAGCAGUAGGGAAUCUUCCGCAAUGGGCGAAAGCCUGACGGAGCAACGCCGCGUGAGUGAUGAAGGUCUUCGGAUCGUAAAACUCUGUUAUUAGGGAAGAACAUAUGUGUAAGUAACUGUGCACAUCUUGACGGUACCUAAUCAGAAAGCCACGGCUAACUACGUGCCAGCAGCCGCGGUAAUACGUAGGUGGCAAGCGUUAUCCGGAAUUAUUGGGCGUAAAGCGCGCGUAGGCGGUUUUUUAAGUCUGAUGUGAAAGCCCACGGCUCAACCGUGGAGGGUCAUUGGAAACUGGAAAACUUGAGUGCAGAAGAGGAAAGUGGAAUUCCAUGUGUAGCGGUGAAAUGCGCAGAGAUAUGGAGGAACACCAGUGGCGAAGGCGACUUUCUGGUCUGUAACUGACGCUGAUGUGC
rnacentral:rRNA from 1 species